rnacentral:rRNA from 1 species
AACGUAGGACGCAAGCGUUAUCCGGAGUUACUGGGCGUAAAGGGCGGGCAGGCGGCCAGGUAGGUCCGCUGUGAAAACUCGAGGCUUAACCUCGAGCUGUCGGCGGAAACCAUCUGGCUAGAGUCCGGAAGAGGAGAAUGGAAUUCCCGGUGUAGCGGUGAAAUGCGUAGAUAUCAAGAGGAACACCAGUGGCGAAGGCGAGUCCCUGGACAACACCUGACACUGAGGCACGAAAGCUAGGGGAGCAAACAGG